UACAGAGGUCUCAAGCGUUGUUCGGAUUCAUUGGGCGUAAAGGGCGCGUAGGCGGCGGGGUCAGUCGGGUGUGAAAUCUUAGGGCUUAACCCCGAAACGGCACUCGAAACUGCCCGGCUGGAGGGCCGGAGAGGAGAUCGGAAUUCACGGUGUAGCAGUGAAAUGCGUAGAGAUCGUGAGGAAGACCCGUGGCGAAGGCGGAUCUCUGGACGGCUAACUGACGCUGAGGCGCGAAGGCCAGGGGAGCAAACGGG
rnacentral:rRNA from 1 species